GAUGAAGAACGUAGCGAAAUGCGAUACGUAGUGUGAAUUGCAGAAUUCAGUGAAUCAUCGAAUCUUUGAACGCACAUUGCACCUCUCGGUAUUCCGGGAGGUAUGCCUGUUCGAGCGUCAUUAGUACCCUCAAGCUCUGCUUGGUGUUGGGUGUUUGUUCCGCCUCUGUGUGUGAACUCGCCUCAAAACAAUUGGCAGCCGGCGUACUUGUUUCGGAGCGCAGCACAUUUUGCGAUCCAGAUCAACGUACAGCGGCAUCCAAGAAGCCUUAUUUAACGCUCUUGACCUCGGAUCAGGUAGGGAUACCCGCUGAACUUAAGCAUAUCAAUAAGCGGAGGA
rnacentral:misc_RNA from 1 species